rnacentral:lncRNA from 1 species
AUGGAAAAGCCGCUAGAAUGGGUGGCUUGGCUUCACCACCCUGGUUCCUGGGCAGACUUGGCUCAACAGAGCUCCUGGAAGAUCUGUAUCUGCUUCUACUCAGAUGCACUGCUCCUUACCAGCACAAAGCUAUAUUUUCUUGGAGACUUCCAGAUCGUUCAAUAUAUUUUCUUUUGGAGAAUGUGUUUUCUUUUGGUGGCCAUUUCAUGCACAGAGGAACUAUCAGUGUCUCUGCUUUCCCUUCAGGGAACAACUCCUAAAUUUACAGAGUUUGAACUUCCAAGUCAGUCUCAUUUUCCAAGCAACAGUUUCGAUGGGCAAGGAUUCUCAUUUCUGGAAUGGAGUUAAUAAUGCUGUAAGAUUCACUGAGGAACCAAGAAAUUAAAGGGCUGCGUUUUACAUCCCAGCUGCCAGAUAUCUAUCUUUUGAAAUGCUGUCAAGUGUCACCUGCUCGGGGAAGCCUUCCUGGAUCACUGGGGUGCUGGAUGGACCCCCGCCCUCCUUGGUAACAACACUUGUCUCACUACACAUAGCCCUGGGUUUAUUUGGUUAUUCCAUCACUCUCCUGUAAGCUCUUUCAGGGUAGAAAAAAGCAUCCUUAUUUUGUAUCAAAUGAAACUUAUAGCUGAGCCUGGUGCCUGGUUCCUAGUAGGCAGUGGGUAAAGAUAGUUAAGUGAUGGACAAUUGGAACUUUAUCAUUAAAAGAGGUGCUCAAAAUAUACUGUGUAUAAAAUAGAUAACUAAUGAGAACCUGCGGUACAGCACAGAGAACUCUACUUAACACUCUGUGGGACCUGAUUGGGAAGGAAGUCUAAAAGGGAGGGAAUGUAUGUCAAUGUACGGUGGAUUCUUUUUGCUGUACAAGAGAAUCUAAUACAACAUUGUAAAGCAACUAUACUCCAAUAAAAGCUAAUUUAAAGAAAGCACUAGAUGCUAAUGUCUAUCACCUCCUCAUGGCAAUGUAUGAUGAAACAAACUUUAAAAUUUCAAAAUAAAUUUAAACACAUUCUUAAAAUAGAGUUCCUUAAAAGUCCAUGAAAUAGAAGGAAGCAAACAAACAACAAAAGACCUUUACUGGGAAAAAAUGUUUGCAGUGCCAUUUCUCUCCCCCACUUUCUCCUAUGAAAGGAAGGAGAAGGCAUUAAGACUAAUGCUUGAAUACUGGGGAGAAGAUGAAGGUUUUGAGAAAGUGCUGGGUUAUAUAAUCACACCAAUAGUGCCUAGGAUUUUUGUGUGAUCUGCACAACAAUGCAUCUUUUUAUCUGUGUAAAGUGAAGUAAAAAUAUUUGAGGCAGGUCUUUUGGGUGUUUUUGCCUGGUAGGAGAAAGAACAAUAGAAGAUAUAUUUUGGGUUUUCCAGAAGUGAGGCCAAAUCUGUAAAACGAAAUUGAUUUCUCUCAACACACAUGACUGCUUUGAUAACGCUGGUCUGAGGAAGAGAUGGCAUGGUUUUUCUCUCUCAUCUGUUCCUGUCAGCCUUCCCCUCACAUCCGGUAUUUUGUAAUAAAAUUUCCAACAGAUACGGGUUGUUCAACAGUCACUAGCAAUGCAUUGAUUAAUUAUGUGUACCAGACUUUCAGUAUAUAAUUAAGCUAAACAAAACUGCAUUAAAGUAAUAUGAAUAAUUUGACUUCAAGCCACCAAAACAAGGAAACAGAGUGAAAGCAGAAUCUCUGACCUCAUUCGCUUUAGCAUAUUGGAGGAGACAAAAAUAUAAUCAGAGUUGUAAAUCACACAGCUGCCAUAAUACAGUGAUGCAAAAAGGAAGUUGUUCUGACCUUUGAUUUGGAGGCGUUUCAAAGGUAGAAAUGAAAGUGAACACCGUUCUGCUAAAAAUAAAAUUCUUCAGCUAGGAAACACAACAACAACCAAACCCAUUCCUUAUUUAUGUGGGUAAUGUUUGUUUUUGUUGUUUUCAGCUAUUCUUAGAUUUUCUUCAAUAUGACUGAAGUGUGGAGCAUUGAUAUUGUCUCAGAACUAUGUUACGUUGACAUGCUUUUAAUGUCUCUAAAACCAAAAUUUAGAGAAUGAACUAUAUUUCACAUCCACAAAAAUAGGAUGAGCUCUUAAUACCCCUGCAGAUUUUCCAAGUGGUAUUUAUUCAGUGUGCAUUAAUUUGAAAAAUGUAGAAAAAUAUGUCAAAAAGAAAAAAGUCCAUUCAUAAUUCUACUCUUGAGGAUCUUGAGGUAACCACAAUCAAUACCAGUUUCUUUCCAGUUUGAGUUUAUGUGAAUGUAUGUGGAACUGAUCAUCAUGUUGUAUAUAUAUUGUGGUAACUGCCUCUUUCCCUUGUGCCUCACAUGCAUUUUUCCAUUUCCUUAAGUGUUUCUCCAAAAUAAGAGUUUAAUUGUUUAAUAUUGAUAGAAUCCUGUCAAAAGGAUAAAUCAUACUUUAUUUAACAAGAUCAAUGUUUUUUAACAUUCAGUUGUUCCCAGUUUUUAAUCAUUAUUUUAGAAGUCCAAUGCACUAUCCAUUGUGCAACAGAGCCAGGUUUUAAAAAUUACUGGAAGCAAGCAAAACACUCAGGGAAUAUUGCCAAUAUAUUAUAAUAAUUAUGAAU